rnacentral:rRNA from 1 species
GAUGAACGCUGGCGGCGUGCUUAACACAUGCAAGUCGAACGGGAAACCUUUUAAUGAAGCUUCGGCAGAUUUAGCUGGUUUCUAGUGGCGGACGGGUGAGUAACGCGUGGGUAACCUGCCUUAUACAGGGGGAUAACAGUCAGAAAUGACUGCUAAUACCGCAUAAGCGCACAGGACCGCAUGGUCCGGUGUGAAAAACUCCGGUGGUAUACGAUGGACCCGCGUUGGAUUAGCUUGUUGGUGGGGUAACGGCUCACCAAGGCGACGAUCCAUAGCCGGCCUGAGAGGGUGAACGGCCACAUUGGGACUGAGACACGGCCCAGACUCCUACGGGAGGCAGCCGUGGGGAAUAUUGCACAAUGGGGGACACCCUGAUGCAGCGACGCCGCGUGAAGGAAGAAGUAUCUCGGUAUGUAAACUUCUAUCAGCAGGGAAGAUAGUGACGGUACCUGACUAAGAAGCCCCGGCUAACUACGUG